AUUGAACGCUGGCGGCAGGCCUAUCACAUGCAAGUCGAGCGGAUGAAGGGAGCUUGCUCCUGGAUUCAGCGGCGGACGGGUGAGUAAUGCCUAGGAAUCUGCCUGGUAGUGGGGGAUAACGUCCGGAAACGGGCGCUAAUACCGCAUACGUCCUGAGGGAGAAAGUGGGGGAUCUUCGGACCUCACGCUAUCAGAUGAGCCUAGGUCGGAUUAGCUAGUUGGUGGGGUAAAGGCCUACCAAGGCGACGAUCCGUAACUGGUCUGAGAGGAUGAUCAGUCACACUGGAACUGAGACACGGUCCAGACUCCUACGGGAGGCAGCAGUGGGGAAUAUUGGACAAUGGGCGAAAGCCUGAUCCAGCCAUGCCGCGUGUGUGAAGAAGGUCUUCGGAUUGUAAAGCACUUUAAGUUGGGAGGAAGGGCAGUAAGUUAAUACCUUGCUGUUUUGACGUUACCAACAGAAUAAGCACCGGCUAACUUCGUG
rnacentral:rRNA from 1 species